GGUGCCUCUGACAUCCGCCAGUUCCGGCCUAUCACUGUGAUCAAUGUGAUAUUCCGGAUCUUGGCCAAAGGGUACGCCAAUAGGGUGACCCUUUUAGCUGACACCAUCACUCACCCCAACCAAUCCGCCUUCAUUCAAGGGCGGUUUAUUCUGGAUGGAGUUUUGGUUUUCCACGAGGUCCUUCAUGAAGUCCGGUCCAAGCACCACCGAGCUGUCUUCCUGAAGCUUGACUUCCAUAAGGCCUACGAUACGGUGCCCUGGCCCUUCCUUCGGGAAGUCUUACUCCGCAAGGGUUUCGACGACCGGUGGGUGACCAGAGUUAUGCAACUCGUCUCUUGCGGCCAGACCGCGGUUAGCAUUAAUAGUGAGGUUGGGCCAUUCUUCCCCACUCUUUGUGGGGUUCGCCAGGGCGACCCGUUCUCCCCGUUUCUGUUUAACAUGGUGGUCGAUGCCCUUGCGGUCAUCCUGGAUAAGGCCAAAUCUGCUGGCCAUAUCCACAACAUUGUUCCUCACCUAGUAGGAGGGGGAGGGAUCUCCCUCCUACAAUAUGCAGACGACACCAUAAUAAUGGUGGAGGGCUCCGCGACCGACAUAGCCAACCUGAAGUUUCUCCUCCUAUGCUUCCAACAGAUGUCCGGGUUCAGUAUCAACUUCUAA
rnacentral:rRNA from 1 species